AUUAGGACUCGUUGGUGACAGCGGAGGGUCAUUACAGAGUUAUCCAACUCCCAAACCCAUGUGAACUUAUCUCUUUGUUGCCUCGGCGCAAGCUACCCGGGACCUCGCGCCCCGGGGGGCCCGCCGGCGGACAAACCAAACUCUGUUAUCUUCGUUGAUUAUCUGAGUGUCUUAUUUAAUAAGUCAAAACUUUCAACAACGGAUCUCUUGGUUCUGGCAUCGAUGAAGAACGCAGCGAAAUGCGAUAAGUAAUGUGAAUUGCAGAAUUCAGUGAAUCAUCGAAUCUUUGAACGCACAUUGCGCCCAUUAGUAUUCUAGUGGGCAUGCCUGUUCGAGCGUCAUUUCAACCCCUAAGCACAGCUUAUUGUUGGGACUCUACGGCUUCGUAGUUCCCCAAAGACAUUGGCGGAGUGGCAGCAGUCCUCUGAGCGUAGUAAUUCUUUAUCUCGCUUUUGUUAGGCGCUGCCCCCCCGGCCGUAAAACCCCCAAUUUUUUCUGGUUGACCUCGGAUCAGGUAGGAAUACCCGCUGAACUUAAGCAUAUCAAUAAGGCGGGAGGAAA
rnacentral:rRNA from 1 species